rfam:Naumovozyma dairenensis CBS 421 chromosome 2, complete genome
AUCCAUAGCCAAAGAAUCGUCACUGAUCGAAGCUUACAAAAUUGGAGUUCUCAUUUCAUUCAUUGAAUGAAAUGAACUGAACUCAUCACUAUGCUUUGGGUUGAAAGUCUCCCACCAGGUCAUAUGCGGAAAACGUAAUAAGAUUUAAAAAUUUUAAAAUCUUUAAAUCAACUUAUUAAAGUUUGAAAAAGCUAUCAUCAGAUUGUUUUUUCUUACUUUCCCGACUUGAAUCUUCUUUGAAUGAUUCAAUGUUUUCUUCGGUAUCGAGAUCCCCUUUUCAAUGGAUCUCAAACCAUAGUCAUGACGAUUGCUGUACAAAAUUACAUUUGUUUGUCAUUUGUAUGGUAACCCAAUGGAGCUUACUAUUCUUGGCUCAUGGA